ACAUGGGUUGGUUAUAAUUUUUUGGCGCAUUUCUUCCCUAGGCGAACGGAGUCUAAAGCCUUCAGAAUGGUGCCAUAGGCUUUACUCCAAGAUGCUCCAGUGUCCAGCCACUGAUUCAGAGAACUUUCCAUGCCAGGGUUGGUUGAAUCCGGGGAUGUGGAACCUAUGGCUAUGGAGGGCCAUCUAUAGGUACCUGGGCUGCUGGAUGCAGGCCGCUCGUCAGCCCCUGAAGGAAGGUCUCGCUCGAUGCCGCUGUCGGUGGACAGCAUGGACACCCGGGC